CCUACGGGUGGCAGCAGUGAGGAAUAUUGGUCAAUGGACGCGAGCCUGAACCAGCCAAGUCGCGUGAGGGAAGACGGUCCUAUGGAUUGUAAACCUCUUUUGUCGGGGAGCAAAAGACGCCACGCGUGGCGUUCCGAGAGUACCCGAAGAAAAAGCAUCGGCUAACUCCGUGCCAGCAGCCGCGGUAAUACGGAGGAUGCGAGCGUUAUCCGGAUUUAUUGGGUUUAAAGGGUGCGCAGGCGGAAGAUCAAGUCAGCGGUAAAAUUGAGAGGCUCAACCUCUUCGAGCCGUUGAAACUGGUUUUCUUGAGUGGGUGAGAAGUAUGCGGAAGGCGUGGUGUAGCGGUGAAAUGCAUAGAUAUCACGCAGAACUCCGAUUGCGAAGGCAGCAUGCCGGCGCUCAACUGACGCUCAUGCACGAAAGUGUGGGUAUCGAACAGGAUUAGAUACCCGGGUAGUC
rnacentral:rRNA from 1 species